GGCACACUUGAUGAACACUAAGGGACUUAAUGCUGAAUAUAUUUGAUGUCUCUACUUAUUUGUUCUGAUGUGC